GAUGAACGCUGGCGGCGUGCUUAACACAUGCAAGUCGAACGGUGAACACGGAGCUUGCUCUGUGGGAUCAGUGGCGAACGGGUGAGUAACACGUGAGCAACCUGCCCCUGACUCUGGGAUAAGCGCUGGAAACGGCGUCUAAUACUGGAUACGAACCGCGAAGGCAUCUUCAGUGGUUGGAAAGAAGUUCGGUUGGGGAUGGGCUCGCGGCCUAUCAGCUUGUUGGUGAGGUAAUGGCUCACCAAGGCGUCGACGGGUAGCCGGCCUGAGAGGGUGACCGGCCACACUGGGACUGAGACACGGCCCAGACUCCUACGGGAGGCAGCAGUGGGGAAUAUUGCACAAUGGGCGAAAGCCUGAUGCAGCAACGCCGCGUGAGGGAUGACGGCCUUCGGGUUGUAAACCUCUUUUAGCAGGGAAGAAGCGAAAGUGACGGUACCUGCAGAAAAAGCGCCGGCUAACUACGUGCCAGCAGCCGCCGUAAUAC
rnacentral:rRNA from 1 species